GAUCGACAAAACCAGACGUGAUUGUGGCAAGUCUUAUAUACAUAAGACAUAACCUACACAAAACUUACAUAAUCCCUCGUGUCGAAGUUUUCUUGCAAGCCAUAAAUUCAGAGGAAUCUGUGUUGAUCUGUGCUAGUGCCUAGUGAAAACAAUAAUCAACCAAGGUAUGUCUGCCGUGAGCUAGGAAAGUGACCAGUAUAAUUUAUGCGAAUUAAGUUUAUAGGACAGAGGUCAGGAGCCCUAUCUUUCUUAGCAGCCUAAGUGCGCAUAAGUGCAUAUACGGGGUGCUCCACGAGAGGCGUAUCACCGAAGUGAUCCCCCAAUCUACAAGGGGUAGAAUUCGAUUCCCCCCUCUUCUGCUCCGAAACGCCGAGCCCCGAAAACCUUUGACUUGGGUCAACAUUAGUAAGGCGUAGCAACCCUUAGGAAGCUCAGCGCGUAAGGCGGCUCCUCGGAACCUUUCACCAGCUCCACUGAGAAGACCAGUUUGUCGAGCACUUUAGUGCUUAUGUAAGCGGCAGAUCGACAUCAAGCCGGAUGUUCCACAUUUUAGCCCAGUGUCCAGAGCUAAAACAUUGGGCGUGAUUUUGACGGACCUGACUACAGAGGAGCCACCGCCAACAGCAGGACAGAUGUCCGGAGUUAUGCUGUGUUAAUUUGCACAUUUUCUGGGACUAAGUUCAAUAUGCCAUUUUAAGGCCAAUUCCCUGGCAGUUACGUAUAUGUAUAUUCAAGCAUCGGGAAUCAUGAGUGUUUGUAGAAAAGAGUGGGUAAGAAAUAAUUAAUUGAAAUUAUCAAAUCGUACUUGCAGGUACACUCGUGUGCAUAUAUUGUUAAAACCUUCUAUUUUUCCCUAGAUACCAGCACCUACGUCAUCCUUGAGCUCAACGAUUACGAAAGGAGUAAGGGUAUUAAAAUACCAAAACCAAAAGAAAACAGUGAGUUUGUAAACUUAAAAACAUUUAUGCACAGAGUAUAAACGUAACCUGCGUGCUACUAAACAUUUAAUCAUAACCGUAAUGGGUUGAUACCUCUCGCCCCCCUUAAUUAUAUUAACCACAUCUGAUUAUUAGUCCGUAUACUUACUGCCCCC
rnacentral:lncRNA from 1 species